rnacentral:lncRNA from 1 species
AGCCACGUGCCUGGGUGUGUGUUGCUGUGUAGACCCAAGGGCCAGGUUGGAGUGUCGUCUACAGGUACUUUUUUUUUUCUGGGGGGUGCGAUGGGGGGCUUCUGUGCCAUACUGUGUAGCUUCCCAUAGAGAUGGGAGUUGGGUGUGCCUGAGUCUACCUGGAGCUACUUAGGCAGUAAUAUGUGUGUCAAGGGUGUGCAAAAGUAGCAUAGUAAUACAUAUCAGCUGGGGCACGUGUGCAGGGGACAUGUGUAUGCAUCUGUCAGAGUACAUAUGUAAGGACUUGCAUGUUAUGUCCGUUGUCUAGGCAUGGUCUGUGGAGUGUUUGUGGAUCAGCAGAAUGGAGUCAGAAUUUCAACAUGGAGUCUCCUGGGCCCACAACCUUCUGCUUUCUCGUUGACUCUGAAGAUGGUCUCCAUCAUCUAUCAUCACCAAGGACUCAAGCCCCAGGCCAAAGGCUUUUGAGGGCUUUGCUGUUGAAAUGAUCCAUGGUCCCAGCUAUGACAAAAACCCACACGGAGAAAUCUCCAGCAACAAAUGCUUAAUGAAGUGCCAGCAAAGCAUCACAUUAUGCAAAGCUGCCCAACUCAUCCGGCGCCUGGUAAUGGGAUGGAGUGUGAAGCUGGGCGUGGUUAUGGAAGUUGAUGUUCCGUGGAGGAGAGCAGCCUCAGGAGUUAAGGAGAGACAAGCAGGUCUAAAGAAGGCUCCAGCCAGCCUUGGGGGCUCUAGGCAGGUGUUCCCAACUCUUUGCUUAUCCUGUCAGGGAUGAAUCCUCUGCUUGUAUGAAGUGAUGAAGGUCACCUUGGCAUGCUGUCAGACCCUAACAUACAGUGACUGGAAAAAGCUAGUGUGUGUGUGUGUGUGUGUGUGUGUGUGUGUGCGCGCGCGCGCGUGUCCACACAGAAGCUUGUUUGUGCUGUACAUCAGGGGAGGCACUUGGGGUGUGCUCUGUGGCCAGCCCCAACCUCCUCACAGUCAUUAUCACAGCCAGAACAGCUCUGGCCCUGGGGCUGCCCUCACUCUUCCAAGCAGCUGCUGUCUUACUCAAAUUAACCCCUCCGUUCCAGCCCCUCAUUUUCCUGCUAGGGGGCCAUUGCUGGCUGGGCAGGGGUCUCCAAGAACAGUAGCCUCAGCAGGUAAGCUGAUGUUACACAGUCCCAGGCCUAUCCCUGGUCCCCAGGGGUCCUCCUCCUUUCUUGAUUCCUGUGGCUGUGACCACAGGGAUUGUGUGAUUGAGCAUCUGAGCCUUCCUUGUGUGUGACUGUGUCUGUGCACUCGUGCGAAGCUAUGGAUGGCUGAGAGGCAGCCACAGGCAGGGCUAGAGCUGCUGCUCUUGAGAUUCAAGUGUAGGCCUCCUCUGAUAGCCUGGCAAGGGUAAGAAGAACUUUGAGUUGUAGGUGGCAAAGAUAGGCUUUGCCAAGCUGGGGAGGCUGUGCCAUAUCUCAGGCUUUUCCAGGGCAUGCACAGAGGGUCAGCUAGGCAGAAGUUAUUCAGUUAUUUAAAAAAAAAAAAAAAAAAAAAAAGACCAACAGGGCCAACUCCUGGUCAGGGUGGACCUGAGAUCUCAGCAGAAGUUGCUGAGGAGAAGAGGAAGUAAGAGACUGAUAAAGAAGGGGGUAUGAAUUGUGCAAGAGGGCCUAGCUCUGCUCUGCUGUCUGCCACCUCUCUGAGGCAGGGAGGAAGGAAGAUGUUUCCGCACAUCAAGGGAGAACCCGGGGAAAGAUGUAGACAAGGAAGCUCAGGACUGGGGACCAGCUUCUUUGCGCUGGGCACUCAGAGCUCUUAGAGCCACACUGAAGACCAUAUACAGCACAAAUCUUCAGGGCCUGCUGGGUGGGACAGACUCUCAGGCACCAGAAGCAGGAGAAGCGGAGGAGGUGGCUCAGCUGGAAAAGUGCUUCCUGUGUGUAAGUCAAGGACCUGCGUUUGUAUCCUCAGCAGCCAUGUAAAAAGCUGGGGCUAUUGGUAGGUAUCUUCAGACAGGAGGCUCCUUUCUAGCCAGUCAGUCUAGUCACAUUAGUGAGUUCCAGGCACAGUGAGGACACUCAGGUGCCUGGAGAAGAUGGGGAGCAAUUGAUGAAGGUGACUGACCACCAACAACCACCACCUCUGGCUUCCAUAAACACAUGUGUACCUGUACACACACACACACACACACACACACACACACACACACACACGUACACACACAUAUAUACACACCACACUGUAAUUUUUUCAAAUCUAUUUUUUUUUUGUUUUUUUGUUUGUUUGUUUUUGUUUUGUUUUUCGAGUCAGG